AUUGAACGCUGGCGGCAUGCUUUACACAUGCAAGUCGAACGGCAGCGCGGGGCAACCUGGCGGCGAGUGGCGCACGGGUGAGUAAUACAUCGGAACGUACCCAGAAGUGGGGGAUAACGUAGCGAAAGUUACGCUAAUACCGCAUACGUUCUACGGAAGAAAGUGGGGGACCUUCGGGCCUCAUGCUUUUGGAGCGGCCGAUGUCUGAUUAGCUAGUUGGUGAGGUAAAGGCUCACCAAGGCGACGAUCAGUAGCUGGUCUGAGAGGACGACCAGCCACACUGGGACUGAGACACGGCCCAGACUCCUACGGGAGGCAGCAGUGGGGAAUUUUGGACAAUGGGCGCAAGCCUGAUCCAGCAAUGCCGCGUGAGUGAAGAAGGCCUUCGGGUUGUAAAGCUCUUUUGUCAGGGAAGAAACGGCUGAGGAUAAUACCUUCGGCUAAUGACGGUACCUGAAGAAUAAGCACCGGCUAACUACGUG
rnacentral:rRNA from 1 species